AUGAUGGUUAUAGGAGAGACUGCGUAAUGCAGCGCCGAAGGAGUAAGCACUUUGUCAAACUCUCAGGCAAAAGGACUGUAACCGGACU
rnacentral:ncRNA from 1 species